UACAGAGGUCUCAAGCGUUGUUCGGAUUCAUUGGGCGUAAAGGGUGCGUAGGCGGCGCGGUAAGUCGGGUGUGAAAUCUCGGAGCUUAACUCCGAAACUGCAUUCGAUACUGCCGUGCUUGAGGACUGGAGAGGAGACUGGAAUUUACGGUGUAGCGGCGAAAUGCGUAGAUAUCGUAAGGAAGACCAGUGGCGAAGGCGGGUCUCUGGACAGUUCCUGACGUGAGGCACGAAGGUCAGGGGGAGCAAAACGGGGA
rnacentral:rRNA from 1 species